CGAGUGGCGCACGGGUGAGUAACACGUGGGAACCAACCCUGAGGUUCGGAAUAACCGCGGGAAACUGCGGCUAAUACCGGAUAUCCCCUACGGGGGAAAGAUUUAUCGCCUUGGGACGGGCCCGCGUCCGAUUAGCUAGUUGGUGAGGUAAUGGCUCACCAAGGCAACGAUCGGUAGCUGGUCUGAGAGGAUGACCAGCCACACUGGAACUGAGACACGGUCCAGACUCCUACGGGAGGCAGCAGUGGGGAAUAUUGGGCAAUGGAGGCAACUCUGACCCAGCCAUGCCGCGUGGGUGACGAAGGUCUUCGGAUUGUAAAGCACUUU
rnacentral:rRNA from 1 species